AUUGAACGCUGGCGGCAGGCUUAACACAUGCAAGUCGAGCGGGGUGAUGGUGCUUGCACUAUCACUUAGCGGCGGACGGGUGAGUAAUGCUUAGGAAUCUGCCUAUUAGUGGGGGACAACAUCUCGAAAGGGAUGCUAAUACCGCAUACGUCCUACGGGAGAAAGCAGGGGAUCACUUGUGACCUUGCGCUAAUAGAUGAGCCUAAGUCGGAUUAGCUAGUUGGUGGGGUAAAGGCCUACCAAGGCGACGAUCUGUAGCGGGUCUGAGAGGAUGAUCCGCCACACUGGGACUGAGACACGGCCCAGCCUCCUACGGGGUGCAGCAGUGGGGAAUAUUGGACAAUGGGGGGAACCCUGAUCUAGCCAUGCCGCGUGUGUGAAGAAGGCCUUAUGGUUGUAAAGCACUUUAAGCGAGGAGGAGGCUCUUUUGGUUAAUACCCAAGAUGAGUGGACGUUACUCGCAGAAUAAGCACCGGCUAACUCUGUGCCAGCCGCCGCCGUAA
rnacentral:rRNA from 1 species